rnacentral:rRNA from 1 species
GGGUGAGUAAUACAUCGGAACGUGCCCUGUCGUGGGGGAUAACUAGUCGAAAGAUUAGCUAAUACCGCAUACGACCUGAGGGUGAAAGCGGGGGACCGUAAGGCCUCGCGCGAUAGGAGCGGCCGAUGUCUGAUUAGCUAGUUGGUGGGGUAAAGGCCCACCAAGGCGACGAUCAGUAGCUGGUCUGAGAGGACGAUCAGCCACACUGGGACUGAGACACGGCCCAGACUCCUACGGGAGGCAGCAGUGGGGAAUUUUGGACAAUGGGGGCAACCCUGAUCCAGCAAUGCCGCGUGUGUGAAGAAGGCCUUCGGGUUGUAAAGCACUUUUGUCCGGAAAGAAAUCCCCUGCUCUAAUACAGCGGGGGGAUGACGGUACCGGAAGAAUAAGCACCGGCUAACUACGUGCCAGCAGCCGCGGUAAUACGUAGGGUGCGAGCGUUAAUCGGAAUUACUGGGCGUAAAGCGUGCGCAGGCGGUUUUGUAAGACAGGCGUGAAAUCCCCGAGCUCAACUUGGGAAUGGCGCUUGUGACUGCAAGGCUAGAGUAUGUCAGAGGGGGGUAGAAUUCCACGUGUAGCAGUGAAAUGCGUAGAGAUGUGGAGGAAUACCGAUGGCGAA